rnacentral:guide_RNA from 1 species
AUUAGAACAUAACACAGCGAGAGAACAAUGUUAGAGAUAUAUACAGAAAG